rnacentral:rRNA from 1 species
AACAAGGGCCUAAAUACUGUAAAGACAGCAGAUCCUGUCUGAUCUUAGAAAUUUAGCACAGUUAGCCCUGGUUAGUACUUGGAUGGGAGACUGCCAAUGAAUACUGAGUACUGUAUGCU